rnacentral:rRNA from 1 species
UGCAAGUCGAACGAUGAUAUCACUGCUUGCAGUGAUUGAUUAGUGGCGAACGGGUGAGUAACACGUGAGGAACUUGCCCAUGAGCGGGGGACAACAUUCGGAAACGGAUGCUAAUACCCCAUAGGUGGAUUGGUCGCAUGACGAAUUCAUUAAAGGUGGCUCUGCUACCACUCAUGGAUAGCCUCGCGGCGUAUUAGCUAGUUGGUAAGGUAAUGGCUUACCAAGGCAGUGAUACGUAGCCGAUUUGAGAGGGUGAUCGGCCACACUGGGACUGAGACACGGCCCAGACUCCUACGGGAGGCAGCAGUAGGGAAUCUUCCACAAUGGGUGCAAACCUGAUGGAGCAAUGCCGCGUGAGUGAAGAAGGUCUUCGGAUCGUAAAGCUCUGUUGUUAGAGAAGAACACGUGCUAGGUAACUACUAGCGCCUUGACGGUAUCUAACCAGAAAGUCACGGCUAACUACGUGCCAGCAGCCGCGGUAAUACGUAGGUGACAAGCGUUGUCCGGAUUUAUUGGGCGUAAAGGGAGCGCAGGCGGUCUGUUUAGUCUAAUGUGAAAGCCCACGGCUUAACCGUGGAACGGCAUUGGAAACUGACAGACUUGAAUGUAGAAGAGGAAAAUGGAAUUCCAAGUGUAGCGGUGGAAUGCGUAGAUAUUUGGAGGAACACCAGUGGCGAAGGCGAUUUUCUGGUCUAACAUUGACGCUGAGGCUCGAAAGCGUGGGGAGCGAACAGGAUUAGAUACCCUGGUAGUCCACGCCGUAAACGAUGAGUGCUAAGUGUUGGGGGCUUUCCGGCCCUCGGUGCUGGAGCUAACGUAUUAAGCACUCCGCCUGGGGAUUACGACCGCA